CCCUUAGAUGUUCUGGGCCGCACACGCGCUACACUGAUGCAUUCAACGAGCACCCGCUGGGCCGAGAGGUCCGGCUAAUCUUUGAACGUGCAUCGUGCUGGGGAUAGAUGAUUGCAAUUAUUCAUCUUCAACGAGGAAUUCCUAGUAAACGCAAGUCAUCAGCUUGCAUUGAUUACGUCCCUGCCCUUUGUACACACCGCCCGUCGCACCUACCGAUUGAAUGGUCCGGUGAAAUUCUCGGACGCGGACUUGCGAUGUUAAUUCGGAGCUUGACUGUGAAAGUUAAUUAAACCUUACCAUUUAGAGGAAGGUGAAGUCGUAACA
rnacentral:rRNA from 1 species